rnacentral:rRNA from 1 species
ACGAUCAUACCAGCACUAAUGCACCGGAUCCCAUCAGAACUCCGAAGUUAAGCAUGCUUGGGCGAGAGUAGUACUAGGAUGGGCGACCCCUAGGAAGUCCUCGUGUUGCACCCC